rnacentral:rRNA from 1 species
GACGGAGGGUGCUAGCGUUGUUCGGAUUGACUGGGCGUAAAGGGCGUGUAGGCGGUCGGUCAAGUCCGGUGUGAAAGCCCGAGGCUCAGCCUCGGAAGUGCAUCGGAAACUAGCAGACUGGAGCGCGAUAGAGGAGGGUGGAAUUCCUGGUGUAGCGGUGAAAUGCGUAGAUAUCAGGAGGAACACCGGCGGCGAAGGCGGCCCUCUGGAUCGUUGCUGACGCUGAGACGCGAAAGCGUGGGGAGCAAACAGG